GACGAACGCUGGCGGCGUGCUUAACACAUGCAAGUCGAACGGAAAGGCCCUGCUUUUGUGGGGUGCUCGAGUGGCGAACGGGUGAGUAACACGUGAGUAACCUGCCCUUGACUUUGGGAUAACUUCAGGAAACUGGGGCUAAUACCGGCUAGGUGCUCCUGCUGCAUGGUGGGGGUUGGAAAGUUUCGGCGGUUGGGGAUGGACUCGCGGCUUAUCAGUUUGUUGGUGGAGUAGUGGCUUACCAAGGCUUUGACGGGUAGCCGGCCUGAGAGGGUGAACGGCCACAUGGGGACUAAGAGACGGCCCAGACGCCAACGGGGGGCAGCAGUGGGGAGUAUUGCACAAUGGGCGGAAGCCUGAUGCAGCAACGCCGCGUGCGGGAUGACGGCCUUCGGGGUGUAAACCGCAUUAGCCUGUGACGAAGCGUGAGUGACGGUAAUGAGAAAAGAAGCACCGGCUAACUACGUG
rnacentral:rRNA from 1 species